ACUCCUACGGGAGGCAGCAGUGGGGAAUAUUGGACAAUGGGGGGAACCCUGAUCCAGCCAUGCCGCGUGUGUGAAGAAGGCCUUAUGGUUGUAAAGCACUUUAAAGCGAGGAGGAGGCUACUGAGACUAAUACUCUUGGAUAGUGGACGUUACUCGCAGAAUAAGCACCGGCUAACUCUGUGCCAGCAGCCGCGGUAAUACAGAGGGUGCGAGCGUUAAUCGGAUUUACUGGGCGUAAAGCGUGCGUAGGCGGUCUUUUAAGUCGGAUGUGAAACUCCCCGAGCUUAACUUGGGAAUUGCAUUCGAUACUGGGGAAGCUAGAGUAUGGGAGAGGAUGGUAGAAUUCCAGGUGUAGCGGUGAAAUGCGUAGAGAUCUGGAGGAAUACCGAUGGCGAAGGCAGCCAUCUGGCCUAAUACUGACGCUGAGGUACGAAAGCAUGGGAGCAAACAGGAUUAGAUACCCCUGGUAGACUGUCA
rnacentral:rRNA from 1 species